rnacentral:rRNA from 1 species
UACGGAGGGUGCAAGCGUUAAUCGGAAUUACUGGGCGUAAAGCGCACGUAGGCGGAUCAGUCAGUUAGGGGUGAAAUCCCAGGGCUCAACCCUGGAACUGCCUUUAAUACUGCUGGUCUGGAGUCCGAGAGAGGUGAGUGGAAUUCCGAGUGUAGAGGUGAAAUUCGUAGAUAUUCGGAGGAACACCAGUGGCGAAGGCGGCUCACUGGCUCGGUACUGACGCUGAGGUGCGAAAGCGUGGGGAGCAAACAGG